rnacentral:rRNA from 1 species
UACGGAGGAUGCAAGCGUUAUCCGGAUUCAUUGGGUUUAAAGGGUGCGUAGGCGGGCUAUUAAGUCAGUGGUGAAAUCCUGCAGCUCAACUGCAGAACUGCCGUUGAUACUGAUAGUCUUGAGUUUGGUUAAGGUAGGCGGAAUGUGUAAUGUAGCGGUGAAAUGCUUAGAUAUUACACAGAACACCAAUUGCGUAGGCAGCUUACUGAGCCGACACUGACGCUGAGGCACGAAAGCGUGGGGGUCAAACAGGA